AGUGAACGCUGGCGGUAGGCCUAACACAUGCAAGUCGAACGGCAGCACAGUAAGAGCUUGCUCUUACGGGUGGCGAGUGGCGGACGGGUGAGGAAUACAUCGGCAUCUACUUUUUCGCGGGGGAUAACGCAGGGAAACUUACGCUAAUACCGCAUACGACCUACGGGUGAAAGCAGGGGAUCUUCGGACCUUGCGCGAUUGAAUGAGCCGAUGUCGGUUUAGCUAGUUGGCGGGGUAAAGGCCCACCAAGGCGACGAUCCGUAGCUGGUCUGAGAGGAUGAUCAGCCACACUGGAACUGGGACACGGACCAGACUCCUACGGGAGGCAGCAGUGGGGAAUAUUGGACAAUGGGCGCGAGCCUGAUCCAGCCAUACCGCGUGGGUGAAGAAGGCCUUCGGGUUGUAAAGCCCUUUUGUUGGGAAAGAAAAGCAGCAGGUUAAUACCCCGCUGUUCUGACGGUACCCAAAGAAUAAGCACCGGCUAACUUCGUG
rnacentral:rRNA from 1 species